UUAAGUGACUAAGCGUACACGGUGGAUGCCUUGGCAGUCAGAGGCGAUGAAAGACGUAGUAACUUGCGAUAAGCCCAGAUUAGGUAGUAACAACCAUUUGAGUCUGGGAUUUCUGAAUGGGGAAACCCACGUGCAUAAGCACGUAUCCUUACCUGAAUACAUAGGGUAAGGAGGCGAACCGGGGGAACUGAAACAUCUAAGUACCCCGAGGAAAAGAAAUCAACCGAGAUUCCGAAAGUAGCGGCGAGCGAAAUUGGACUAGCCCUUAAGCUUUACACGCGUUAGACGAACGGUCUGGAAAGUCCGACGAUACAGGGUGAUAGUCCCGUAGUUGACGACGUGUGUUCAGUGAAAUCGAGUAGGGCGGGACACGUGAUAUCCUGUCUGAAUAUGGGGGGACCAUCCUCCAAGGCUAAAUACUACUGACUGACCGAUAGUGAACCAGUACCGUGAGGGAAAGGCGAAAAGAACCCCUGUGAGGGGAGUGAAAUAGAACCUGAAACCGUGUACGUACAAGCAGUAGGAGCAGGCUUUGUCCUGUGACUGCGUACCUUUUGUAUAAUGGGUCAGCGACUUAUAUUCAGUGGCAAGGUUAACCAUCUAGGGGAGCCGUAGGGAAACCGAGUCUUAACUGGGCGUUCAGUCUCUGGAUAUAGACCCGAAACCAGGUGAUCUAGCCAUGGGCAGGUUGAAGGUUGAGUAACAUCAACUGGAGGACCGAACCGACUAAUGUUGAAAAAUUAGCGGAUGACUUGUGGCUAGGGGUGAAAGGCCAAUCAAACCUGGAGAUAGCUGGUUCUCCCCGAAAGCUAUUUAGGUAGCGCCUCGGACGAAUACUACUGGGGGUAGAGCACUGUUAAGGCUAGGGGGUCAUCCCGACUUACCAACCCUUUGCAAACUCCGAAUACCAGUAAGUACUAUCCGGGAGACACACGGCGGGUGCUAACGUCCGUCGUGGAGAGGGAAACAACCCAGACCGCCAGCUAAGGUCCCAAAUUACUACUAAGUGGGAAACGAUGUGGGAAGGCUCAGACAGCCAGGAUGUUGGCUUAGAAGCAGCCAUCAUUUAAAGAAAGCGUAAUAGCUCACUGGUCGAGUCGGCCUGCGCGGAAGAUGUAACGGGGCUAAGUAGUAAACCGAAGCUGCGGCAAUGUGCUUUUGCACAUUGGGUAGGGGAGCGUUCUGUAAGCGGUUGAAGGUGUGUGGUAACGCAUGCUGGACGUAUCAGAAGUGCGAAUGCUGACAUGAGUAACGAUAAAGGGGGUGAAAAACCUCCUCGCCGGAAGACCAAGGGUUCCUGUCCAACGUUAAUCGGGGCAGGGUAAGUCGACCCCUAAGGCGAGGCCGAAAGGCGUAGUCGAUGGGAAACGGGUUAAUAUUCCCGUACUUCUUACAAUUGCGAUGGGGGGACGGAGAAGGCUAGGUGGGCCUGGCGACGGUUGUCCAGGUUCAAGUGCGUAGGCUUGAGAGUUAGGUAAAUCCGGCUCUUUUUAAGGCUGAGACACGACGUCGAGCACCUACGGGUGUGAAGUCAUUGAUGCCAUGCUUCCAGGAAAAGCCUCUAAGCUUCAGAUUGUAAGGAAUCGUACCCCAAACCGACACAGGUGGUCGGGUAGAGAAUACCAAGGCGCUUGAGAGAACUCGGGUGAAGGAACUAGGCAAAAUGGUACCGUAACUUCGGGAGAAGGUACGCUCUUGAUGGUGAAGUCCCUUGCGGAUGGAGCUGACGAGAGUCGCAGAUACCAGGUGGCUGCAACUGUUUAUUAAAAACACAGCACUGUGCAAAAUCGUAAGAUGACGUAUACGGUGUGACGCCUGCCCGGUGCCGGAAGGUUAAUUGAUGGGGUUAGACUUCGGUCGAAGCUCUUGAUCGAAGCCCCGGUAAACGGCGGCCGUAACUAUAACGGUCCUAAGGUAGCGAAAUUCCUUGUCGGGUAAGUUCCGACCUGCACGAAUGGCGUAAUGAUGGCCACGCUGUCUCCACCCGAGACUCAGUGAAAUUGAAAUCGCUGUGAAGAUGCAGUGUACCCGCGGCUAGACGGAAAGACCCCGUGAACCUUUACUACAGCUUGGCACUGAACAUUGACCCUACAUGUGUAGGAUAGGUGGGAGGCUUUGAAGCAGGUACGCCAGUAUCUGUGGAGCCGUCCUUGAAAUACCACCCUUGUAGUGUUGAUGUUCUAACGUCGACCCCUUAUCGGGGUUGCGGACAGUGCCUGGUGGGUAGUUUGACUGGGGCGGUCUCCUCCCAAAGAGUAACGGAGGAGCACGAAGGUGGGCUAAUCACGGUUGGACAUCGUGAGGUUAGUGCAAUGGCAUAAGCCCGCUUGACUGCGAGAAUGACAAUUCGAGCAGGUGCGAAAGCAGGUCAUAGUGAUCCGGUGGUUCUGAAUGGAAGGGCCAUCGCUCAACGGAUAAAAGGUACUCCGGGGAUAACAGGCUGAUACCGCCCAAGAGUUCAUAUCGACGGCGGUGUUUGGCACCUCGAUGUCGGCUCAUCACAUCCUGGGGCUGAAGUCGGUCCCAAGGGUAUGGCUGUUCGCCAUUUAAAGUGGUACGCGAGCUGGGUUUAGAACGUCGUGAGACAGUUCGGUCCCUAUCUGCCGUGGGCGUUGGAAGAUUGAAGGGGGCUGCUCCUAGUACGAGAGGACCGGAGUGGACGAACCUCUGGUGUUCGGGUUGUGUCGCCAGACGCAUUGCCCGGUAGCUAAGUUCGGAAUCGAUAACCGCUGAAAGCAUCUAAGCGGGAAGCGAGCCCUGAGAUGAGUCUUCCCUGAUACUUUAAGUAUCCUAAAGGGUUGUCGGAGACUACGACGUUGAUAGGUCAGGUGUGUAAGUGCUGUGAGGCAUUGAGCUAACUGAUACUAAUUGCCCGUGAGGCUUAACC
rnacentral:rRNA from 1 species